rnacentral:rRNA from 1 species
GAUGAACGCUGGCGGCGUGCCUAAUACAUGCAAGUCGAGCGAACAGACGAGGAGCUUGCUCCUCUGACGUUAGCGGCGGACGGGUGAGUAACACGUGGAUAACCUACCUAUAAGACUGGGAUAACUUCGGGAAACCGGAGCUAAUACCGGAUAAUAUAUUGAACCGCAUGGUUCAAUAGUGAAAGACGGUCUUGCUGUCACUUAUAGAUGGAUCCGCGCUGCAUUAGCUAGUUGGUAAGGUAACGGCUUACCAAGGCAACGAUGCGUAGCCGACCUGAGAGGGUGAUCGGCCACACUGGAACUGAGACACGGUCCAGACUCCUACGGGAGGCAGCAGUAGGGAAUCUUCCGCAAUGGGCGAAAGCCUGACGGAGCAACGCCGCGUGAGUGAUGAAAGUCUUCGGAUCGUAAAACUCUGUUAUUAGGGAAGAACAAAUGUGUAAGUAACUAUGCACGUCUUGACGGUACCUAAUCAGAAAGCCACGGCUAACUACGUG